UUUAAAUUAUUGACACCUCUUUUGGAAGUGAAUCAAGCAAUAUAAGCUUGGUC
rnacentral:lncRNA from 1 species